GAAGGUAAAGAAGCAUUAUCAGCUACAGACUUGCCAAUCCCUUUUACCUUAUACCAGAUGGGUGCCUCUUGGUACCUGUUACUCCCAGAGUUCUUGAUAGUCCCAGCUUCCAGAGGGGGCCAAAAUCCACUGCAGUCUAAUCUACAGGGUGGCAUUCCCAUCGUCUCACACCCCAGUGUCACUUCAUCUGCUGGGUCCUCUCACUAGGUAAUUCACCCAGAUCUUGUUCCAUAUAACACUGGUGCCACAACACUGCUUUCUGACCAACAACACUUACUGUUCUCACUGUGUCACCCAUUAGGUCCAAACUCUGCUUGGCAAAGAGGCUUUUCCUUCUCUGCAGCCUUCUCUGCUCUCCUUCCCCAUCAUACCUGCUCCACUGCAGCAAGGCUGGUCUCAUCAUUCUCUCCUGCACUUGGAAGACUCUUUCUUAUUUCUGCUCAAACUAUGUCCCCUGCCCAGAGAGCCCUUCACUUUUCAAACUCUGACCCACCUUUUCUUUGAGAUCCAGCUAAAGGCUCACCUCUUCUAGGAUUAGUCUGGCUCAACUCCUAAGAAACUCACAGCAAGUACCAAACAGGACAGUUCUAAAUCAUCCUCAGUCGGUUGCCAGUCUAAGUUCUCUUCACGGAGCUGCCAGUAAGCUAAUAAGGGCAAUGCUGUAGAUUCUAAUAGUACCUAUUUCAUAGGAUGCUGUGUGGAUUAAUGGACAUACCACACUUAGAACAGGGCCCGACACACAGAAAGUGCUCAAUCGAUGGUGGCAUCAUUACUGUACUGGUCAUGGGGGAAGCAGCAGGCUAGGGGCUUCCCAGUCUCCUAAGCUGGCAGCUGCCUUAGACACCCACUUUAUGAUGAAGUAGUCAUUUCCAGUUUCCUGCCAUUUGAAGUUGAGAUCCCUCUGAGCUCAGAGAAGCCACAAGUAUGGAGGUUUAGAGGAUUAGCCCUGGAGCUGUGCCCAACUCACAGGCAGUACAGUCUGCCCCCAGGACAGGAAGGUACGGGCAGAUGAGAGCAAGAAACAGGCUUAGGUCUCUGCUUAGGGGCAGAGCAGGGACAGUCACUUACUGGUCUCCCAAAGGAAGGAAAAUGACAGAUGCCGUUGAGCCAAAGAGGAAAUCCCCACCCUCAAAGUAAAUUUUGGGGAAUUUAGCAAUGUUGUCUACAAAUACAGUAAACUAUUCAUUUCCCCCAAUAUAUCUGCAUCAUAAAGAAAUAUGACAAGUACUUUUCCCUUCUGACAGAUACUGCAGAGUUCUGGCAUCUGACUCACCCGUGUCUGUUCCCUCAAUGGAUUCUCCCCCUCACAGAGGCACCUCCUAUCAGAGGACUCAAAGCAGACCAUGGCACCCACAUACCCAAGAGCAGGGGGCAAAAUACAGGCACUGGAGACAGACCUAUAUGGAUAGGAGACCUGGCUCCACCACACACCAGCAGCGUGACGUGGUGCAAGCUUUUCAGCUCUCUGAGCCUUAGCUUGCUCAUCUUAAAACACCGGGCUACUAUUUACCUUUGAGGUGAAGUUAUGAGGAUCAAAUUAAAUGCUGCUGCAAACGCACAGCAAAAAACUGCUUGGUACUUGACAUACAUGAAACUGACUACUAACUGUGGCAAUCUUUCUCAAAGGAAAACCGCAGCUGCUGCAAAGGACAGAAGACGGCCCUUCUGAGAGUUCAGACACUGAGAGAAAAGACAGGUGUGAGGACAGCCAGCCCCCAAGAAGCUGGCUAAAGAGGACUGUGACUUGGGUGAGUGUAACCCAGUACUCACAUCACAGGGAAAGAGUACCUGGAAAGUAACCCAGAGCUUGCUGUGAGCUACUCAGAAGAAUCUUGGACAUUUUAUUCACCACAAAUAAAGAGAACUCUAGAAAGGGAGGAUCACAGUCGUUGAAAGUACACCACGGAAAGUACUUAGUUUUAACAAGGCCAAAGUCUGCAGCACCUGGUACACUUGAAGGAGUCUAUGAUAUCGUACGCCUCAGUAUCAACAUACCAGCUACUGUUUCAGGGCCCAGAAAACCAGGACAGGAUAGAAACAGCAAAAGUCAAAAAUUGUGAUCUGUAAUGGGUAGCUCUUGCCUUGAGAAGCAAUGCCAUCUUACAAACAGGGCCACAGGCUGGCCCCAAGGGAGCAGACCCUUUGCCAAAUAGCCCCAUUUGGACUCACUGGCUGACAGACCAAUAAACAUGAUUCCAAUUAGCAAGUCAUCGUGGGACUGCAUGUAACCAGUUUUGUCUGGCUGAAUUAGAUGCCUUUUUAGAUCCUGUGUCCUCAUCUAUACUGAAUUGUAAACUCCUCAAAGUAGGGAAAUAAGCCUUUUCAAUUUGGCCCCAACUCCUCAAGCUGUCUCAGCUAUAUAUAUUCAAUAGGCCAGAUUUCUCAUCAGGUACUCACACACAUAAAUGAUGCAAACCUAGUGCUAUUUCUGGUCUGGCCUAACUCUAAGAUAGAAGUUCUCAGCAAGUUCAUCAUCAUCAUUCUAUUAGUUCCCGUGCUCUCUAUAGAAAAACCUGUCUUCCUAACUGACCAAUUCAGGAGAAAUUUCUUGAGGUUUUAUCGGGUGUCCAGUUCUGCCUACACAGAUUCUUAAAACCACACAGAAUGAUUCUAUGGCUGUACAUUUUAACAACGGGAAACCAAACACAAACACUGAACCUUAAGCACCCAGGUCUGUAUCUCUCAAGGGAAGGCGAAAUAAUAAUUUCAUGUAAUGAUGAUAAUAAAAAAGUGUCUACAUAUCAAAAUUAACACUAUCCUUUUGGUUAACUGAGCCCCUCUACCUGCCUGAGUCCUACUUCUACCUUGGGCAGAGAUAACAAACAGUGCCAUGAGGAGCGCUGUCUCUCCUCCCACCUUUUCUGAUUUGUCAAUUAUUGACAUCCCAGGUGCCAAUGCUGGAGGCUGCAGCCUGACCUUGCAUGUAAACAGCUGAUUAAAACAGCCAUUUUUAUGGCCUGCUCCAGACACGCACAUAUUAUCAAAACUAAUUAGGAACCACUGAUAGCAGUGUGGAAAAGCUGAAGGAAUUCUCACGAGUCCUAAGCCACUAACAACCCUAAACCUGUCAGACAAGUCAUGCACCUGCCUACUUCAAACACCCGCUUUACCUGCAAAGUCACGCAAGGGAGAACUUCCCCUCAAGUCUGCAUUUCUUUACCUAUUUAUCAGAUGAAUGUGAAACAGGUCAGGGGAGUGAAUCUUGGGCCUGCCACACUACAAAUCAGGCUUUCUCUCUGGGUCUAGGUCUUGUGCUGUGUAUACAGGCACCCCCCUCUCCUGUUGAGGGCUCUCUGGAGGCAGGCUGAAGCAUUCUCUGUCACCUUUCUCCUCAAGUCCUUAAGGGUACAAAACUCAUGGUGCAGGGAGAAGAGAACUUAUCCCACUGUAGUGCCAGCCCUGACAGUUUUAUUAUAUUUUUCUUUUUUGGAAUGUAAGUUACUGACCUCAGCUUUGAUUACUGAGGCAUCCUUUCAAAGAGGCAUCCACUUCAAAGAUGGCUAUCUCAAAUAAACGCAUUGC